UACAGAGGUCUCAAGCGUUGUUCGGAUUCAUUGGGCGUAAAGGGUGCGUAGGUGGCGGGGUAAGUCAGGUGUGAAAUCUCGAGGCUCAACCUCGAAACUGCACUUGAUACUGCCUUGCUCGAGUACUGGAGAGGAGAUUGGAAUUUACGGUGUAGCAGUGAAAUGCGUAGAGAUCGGAAAGAACACCAACGGCGAAAGCACUCUGCUGGGCCGACACUGACACUGAGAGACGAAAGCUAGGGGAGCGAAUGGG
rnacentral:rRNA from 1 species